UACGAAGGGGGCUAGCGUUGUUCGGAAUUACUGGGCGUAAAGCGCACGUAGGCGGAUAUUUAAGUCAGGGGUGAAAUCCCAGAGCUCAACUCUGGAACUGCCUUUGAUACUGGGUAUCUUGAGUAUGGAAGAGGUAAGUGGAAUUGCGAGUGUAGAGGUGAAAUUCGUAGAUAUUCGCAGGAACACCAGUGGCGAAGGCGGCUGACUGGUCCGGUUCUGACGCUGAGGCGCGAAAGCGUGGGGAGCAAACAGGG
rnacentral:rRNA from 1 species